rnacentral:rRNA from 1 species
AUGGCUGGCGACGACGAGGAGUGGACCGACGACGAGGAGUGCACCGAGGAGUACGAGAAGGCUGCGGCGGCGAUCGUGGCUCGGGCUCGGGCUCGGCAGAUGACCAGGCUAGGCGGCGCUAAACCCAUGAAACGGCUGCAACACGAGCAGGUCAUCUACAUCCUGUCGCUGGAGAAGGACGGCAUUGACUACGUCACCGGCCGCGGCCACCGGUACACGCCGGAGAAGAUGAAGAGUAUCGUGGACAUCCACAUGGAGGGCGACGACGAGAUCGAUGAGCGGCAGGCCCGGGUGAUGCGGCAGCUGAGUGAGAAGGGGUACGUCGUGGCCGACGACACCUACCUGGGCGAUGACGAGGAGUACAAAGACGAAUACAAUAAGUUGAGCGAGAUACGGUGGGAGAGACUCAUGGCGCCCAUCUUGAGUCGCCGUCUUGCUCGCAUGGGAGUCACCGCCGAAAACGACGACAACGAGGAGGACUACUAUUCGGAGGAGGACUACUCGGAGCUGGGAGAGGCGGAGGGCGAGAAUCCAGAUGACCAACAGAUACCAGCAGAAUAG